UUGAACGCUGGCGGCAUGCUUUACACCUGCAAGUCGAACGGCAGCGCGGGCUUCGGCCUGGCGGCGAGUGGCGAACGGGUGAGUAAUGCAUCGGAACGUGCCCAGUCGUGGGGGAUAGCCCGGCGAAAGCCGGAUUAAUACCGCAUACGACCUGAGGGUGAAAGCGGGGGACCGAAAGGCCUCGCGCUAUUGGAGCGGCCGAUGUCGGAUUAGCUAGUUGGUGGGGUAAAGGCUUACCAAGGCGACGAUCCGUAGCUGGUCUGAGAGGACGACCAGCCACACUGGGACUGGGACACGGCCCAGACUCCUACGGGAGGCAGCAGAGGGGAAUUUUGGACAAUGGGGGCAACCCUGAUCCAGCCAUGCCGCGUGCGGGAAGAAGGCCUUCGGGUUGUAAACCGCUUUUGUUCGGGAAGAAAUCCUCUGGGCUAAUACCCCGGGGGGAUGACGGUACCGGAAGAAUAAGCACCGGCUAACUACGUG
rnacentral:rRNA from 1 species